rnacentral:rRNA from 1 species
CCUACGGUGGGCAGCAGUGGGGAAUAUUGCACAAUGGGCGAAAGCCUGAUGCAGCAACGCCGCGUGAGCGAUGAAGGCCUUCGGGUCGUAAAGCUCUGUCCUCAAGGAAGAGAAGGACGGGACGGGAGGAGGAAGCCCCGGCUAACUACGGGCCAGCAGCCGCGGUAAGACGUCGGGGGCGAGCGUUAUCCGGAAUGACGGGGCGUAAAGGGGGCGGAGGGGGUUUCGUAAGGCAGAGGGGAAAGGCUAGGGCUCAACCGUAGGAAGCCGUUGAAACGGGGAAACUUGAGUGCAGGAGAGGCGAGUGGCAUUCCUCGUGUCGCGGUGCAAUGCGUCGCUCUUAGGAGGCACCCCAGUUGCGAAGGCGGCUCUCUGGACUGUAACUGCCACUGCGGCACG